CGACCAUCCAGAGCGACCGAGAGACCUGGCUCUACGACGUCGCAGCAACCCCCCGUACGCGGGUGCGGGUGCUACCGCCGGGAUCGAUGGAGG
rfam:Rhodococcus pyridinivorans SB3094, complete genome.